GUGGGGAAUUUUGCGCAAUGGGGGCAACCCUGACGCAGCGACGCCGCGUGGAGGACGAAGUCUUUCGGGAUGUAAACUCCUGUCAGUGGGGACGAUAAUGACGGUACCCACAGAGGAAGCACCGGCUAACUCCGUGCCAGCAGCCGCGGUAAGACGGAGGGUGCAAGCGUUGUUCGGAAUUACUGGGCGUAAAGCGUAUGUAGGCGGCAAGUUAAGUUCAAUGUUAAAGCCCACGGCUCAACCGAGGAGAUGCAUUGAAUACUGGCUAGCUAGAGGGUGUUAGAGGAAGACGGAAGUCCCAGUGUAGCGGUGAAAUGCGUAGAUAUUGGGAGGAACAUCGGUAGCGAAAGCGGUCUUCUGGGACAUACCUGACGCUGAGGUACGAAAGCGUGGGGAGCAAACGGGAUUAGAAACCCCGGUAGUCC
rnacentral:rRNA from 1 species